AAAGAAACUAACAAGGAUUCCCCUAGUAACGGCGAGUGAAGAGGGAAGAGCUUAAAUUUUAAAUCUGCCUUGUUCCAAGGUCGAGUUGUAAUUUGAAGAAGCGUUUUCUUGGGCUCGCGGCCGGUAGAAGUUCUUUGGAACAGGACAUCAUAGAGGGUGACAAUCCCGUCCGUGACCGGUCGUGCGUUCAUCUACGAUACGCUUUCAAAGAGUCGAGUUGUUUGGGAUUGCAGCUCCAAAUGGGUGGUAAACAUCACCUAAGGCUAAAUAUUGGCGAGAGACCGAUAGCGAACAAGUACCGUGAGGGAAAGAUGAAAAGAACUUUGAAAAGAGAGUUAAACAGUACGUGAAAUUGUUGAAAGGGAAACGAUUGAAGUCAGUCGUGCUGGCGCGAAAUCAACCAUCUCGUCUUGAGGUCGCAUGGCGCGACGAGCCUCAAAACCGUCACGAAGCGUGAACUCUUGACGAGAAGGUGCACUUUCGUGUCCGCUGGUUAACAUCAAUUUCGACCGUCAUAAAAAGGCUGGAGGGAUGUGGCUCCUUCGGGAGUGUUAUAACCUUUAGCGGAAUGUGGUGGUCGGGAUUGAGGAUUGCAACGAAUACCUUCAGGGCUGUUCCACCUGGCUUCUCAUUGGUAUCCUGAUGACGACAGCUUGCUGACUUUGUUAGGAUUCGCCUCUGAACAGGCUAGAGUGUGAGCAAAUUCGUUAAGGAUGUUG
rnacentral:rRNA from 1 species